GCCCAACUGAUGAGAGGAGCCCAAUACUUGGCUUUUUAGGGUUUCACCUCUUUCUCUCUCAUCAGUCCCUCACUCCCUCUCCCUCUCUCUCCUCUCCUCUCCUCCCCGUCAUUCACCUCUUUCUCUCAUUUCAAAUUCAGUCCAUCUUAUUUCGAGUAGAAAUGAGAAGACCUCUGUUCUGUUGGUUAUUGUUUUGGUGGUUAACUUGAGUAGCGAUUGCGUUCAUCUUGAGAUGAGCAACUUGUCUGGCGUCUUCAUACAAGAGCUCCCAAGCGGCGUCGUUUUUGGGCGGAGGUGUAACCGGCGGUGACGGAACUCUUGGUGACAUCUCUGCCGUGAACUUCAACCAUUUUAGAUUGUGAGCUGCUGCUCGUACAACCUCCACGAAUAAAUGGUGAUGGUCAAACUAUGGGAGUAUGCAUUGGAGUUCUGAUUUUGGAAGUAUAAGAUGCUGGGGAAAAAGAGAAAAUAAGUGAGUGCUGAAGGAUUUAAGCUAAUAUCAUCUUACCCUGGAUUUCCACUCAAUCUUUGGUCACCUCCACAAUGGAUUUUACAGUAUCGCACACGUGUCCCUGUCCCUUAUAGGGUGUUGGCUAAGUGUAGGAAAUGAAAAUAGAUAAGUAAAGGGAACCUAUAGAAAGUGAUGAGAUGUUGCCUGCUAUAAGCAAUCAAGAAGGUGAUCCUUUACGAAAGCAUACACAUUAGAGUUCUGGACCUAAAUUCAGAAAGAGAUCCGCUGAGAUUGCUUCUACUUCUGCAGCACAAGAGAGAAGUAUAGGAAAUUCUUCUAAGUCCGAAGCACAAGAGGAAACUACGAGAAUUCUAUCUACCACAAAAGAUAUGAAGCAUGUCACUGGGCAAGGUAACUUCUCACAAUGUUUUAGCCUUUCUGUCCGAAAUCAAUUGUCUUAUCAUAGCCUUCAACUCUUAUAUUAAUGACUGCUCUUGUUGAUCAUCAUUUCAUCUGGAGGCUUUAAGGGUGGGUCGCAACAAUACUCAGAUCACUCACUCAGUAUCAAGGGCUUAUAUAUCUUGUACGAGUCACCUAUUGAAUAAAAUUUACACAUGUCUAAAUAUUUUCAGAUCCUUUGGAUACUAGUACUUGCAAGGAAGUAGAAACCCUGUUCACUUUGAUACCUCUGUAUUUUUGAUAGCACAACCAAAGUGAUAACUCGACAGUCAUGUUUGAAGGACUUGAAAUACGGUCUACUUUACUUCCGACAUUGCAAAAGAUGCUUACUAUUAUGGUUGUUGCUGCUGGUGCUUAUGGUUGAUGCUGCUCUGCUGUUACU